GACGAACGCUGGCGGCGUGCUUAACACAUGCAAGUCGAACGGAAAGGCCCUGCUUGCAGGGUACUCGAGUGGCGAACGGGUGAGUAACACGUGGGUGAUCUGCCCUGCACUUCGGGAUAAGCUUGGGAAACUGGGUCUAAUACCGGAUAGGAACCAUCUUUAGUGUGGUGGUUGGAAAGUUUUUUCGGUGUAGGAUGAGCUCGCGGCCUAUCAGCUUGUUGGUGGGGUAAUGGCCUACCAAGGCGGCGACGGGUAGCCGGCCUGAGAGGGUGUACGGCCACAUUGGGACUGAGAUACGGCCCAGACUCCUACGGGAGGCAGCAGUGGGGAAUAUUGCACAAUGGGCGCAAGCCUGAUGCAGCGACGCCGCGUGGGGGAGGAAGGCCUUCGGGUUGUAAACUCCUUUCGCUAGGGACGAAGCUUUUUGUGACGGUACCUAGAGAAGAAGCACCGGCUAACUACGUG
rnacentral:rRNA from 1 species